UAGGGAAUUUUCGUUCAAUGGGCGCAAGCCUGAACGAGCAAUGCCGCGUGAGUGAGGAAGGUCUUCGGAUCGUAAAGCUCUGUUGCGGGGGAAAAAGGAAGCAGAAAGGAAAUGGUCUGCUUUUGAUGGUACCCCGCCAGAAAGUCACGGCUAACUACGUGCC
rnacentral:rRNA from 1 species